UACGAAGGGGGCUAGCGUUGUUCGGAAUCACUGGGCGUAAAGCGCACGUAGGCGGAUUGUUAAGUCAGGGGUGAAAGCCUGGAGCUCAACUCCAGAACUGCCCUUGAUACUGGCAAUCUUGAGUCCGGAAGAGGUAAGUGGAACUGCGAGUGUAGAGGUGAAAUUCGUAGAUAUUCGCAAGAACACCAGUGGCGAAGGCGGCUUACUGGUCCGGUACUGACGCUGAGGUGCGAAAGCGUGGGGAGCAAACAGG
rnacentral:rRNA from 1 species